GCCUGCGUAAUAGGCUUCAG
rnacentral:snRNA from 1 species